ACCCAGUUGAGACCCGGCUCCUUUCCUAAUAGAGAAAGGCAAAAGCAGUGUUGUUACUUGUACGAUCUAAUCUCCAACAAAUGGCCUCAACCGCAUUUUUGACAAGUACUGGCCUCUCCAAAUCCUCAUCUGAAGUCUUCUGUCUUCCCUUCCUCUUCAUCAUUACCCAUUCCCAUUCCCAUUCCCAUCCCCAUCCCCAUUCCCACGUUCAGCUUGAAAAGGGCAUGCUAGACAUGUUUCUGUUGGAAUUGAUGGAGCACUUUCUGGCUCAGCUGCAGCCUCACUAGAAGAAGGUUUGUAAUCGACUACCUCUUCUUCAAAACUUUUUUUCCUAACAGUUGAUCUGCGACAUCUUCUCUCUCUUCUUAUUCAUGCUACUGGUAAAGAGAAGGUUUGGAUGUCAGGAUCUCAUUACCAGAAGUACCCACCCCUACUGUGGCAACCAAGUGCCUUUGCACCAGCUUGAAAAACCUAAUCAAUUAAUUCUUUUCCAUCGGUGAAAGAUUUGAUUUUUUGGGGUAAAGAAGAGGAAAUUUCAAAUCAAAGGGGAAGACAAAUUUCUUUUGAUGGUAGUUCGCCAGGUCUUAGUGAAGGGCUUAGGCAGCUUCCUUUCCUUCUUUCUUUUGAUGGUGGCUAUUGACCCAAUUUAUUGCCUUAUGGAGCCGUGACUGAUGGCUAUCAGCUGCUUGCUGGAAGGGAAUAGAAAGCUUGGUCUGCUUAGCAUGUGGAGUCGCCCUUCACCACCAGAUGAAUAAUUAGCAGGAGAUGGGGUCUCGAUAAGAGGUUUCGAAAGUGCUCUGUUCAUUCAUAAAUGGCUUAUCUUCCCUCGGAUGGAGCUUCUUACCUGUAGUUGGAGAUGCAAUAUAUGGCAAUUUUACAAUGAAGCCCACAUGAGCGCCUCCUCAACCGGGCACUACCUGUGAUUAAUAAUUUUUCUUUUUUUUAUUAUUUUUUUUGGGUUGACCCGGGUCAACCCAUGUGACCCGUGACCUGAUCAUUAGACCGGGUCAAUUACCGGGUUGGGUUUCAAAACUAUACCACAUACAAGUAUUAGGUCACUCCUCUUCCUCAUAAUAUUUGAUGAUACAAGACAUAAAGUUACACGUAAGCAGCUGGAUUGGCGUGAACACAAUCAAUUAACAAAGCUGGUCCUGAGAGUAAAAUAUCUUCAGUAUAAUUUAGCCCCAUGUUGACGCUCGAGUGAACUGGUAUGGGUUCAGAGUAAAUAAAUAAUUUUUUUUUUUUUUUUUGUAAAAUGUAAAUUCAGAGAAAUUGAUACUUGAACAAGAAGACGCUGUCGUCCAGUACACAAAAACACAGAUUGCAAGGGCAUUUCCGUAAACUCGCGAAAGAGGAAAAAAAAAUCUCCAUUCCCGCCAUUUCAAUUCACUCCCGUUAUAAAGGAAGCGGGAGUUCCAACAUGAAUCACACGACAGUCCUCAUUUUCCCAGCCGUUUAAACUCCAUGCUCCUCCUCCUCGCCACCGCCAGCCUCGCCAUCUUGGUGCAGUGAUGAGUUGGUGGCCUUCUCUCCCUGUCUCGGCACCGCCAGACAGAGUCACAGACACUGCAACAUCUCAGCGCUGCGAUGCCUUGUCUAAGGCAUUCAAUUCCGGUGAUGGCAACUGUUUCUGUUACCUAAUCAGGCAGCCUCUAAUCUUCGGAUUCCCAUUGAACGAACCCAGAGUGAUUGCUUUACCUUCUGUUUGCUCUCUAUCUAGUCCUGUAUCUUUAGAUUUGCUCUGCUCAGGUUCACCAGCACUGCCCCCCUUCACGGCACAACAACUCCAGAUUUUGCAGGUCCUGAUGAUCUUUCAUUAGCACCAAGUUUGCCACCAGAAUCUGUUGAUGGAUCACCCAGAAGCCCAGUUUCGCCUCUAGCACCAGCAGAGAAGCAUAACAGCAACAGCUAGUUUCUGCCUGGAGUCCUAACGUUAUUGUAAUCUUCAAUCACCUGUAAUGCUGCAAUCAUCGUAUGCUUACCAUUUGAUUGGCAUUUGAAAUUGUUUUAUCACAAGUUUGUCACUGCAAUAGCAGGCAAGUUUUGA